UACGGAGGAUGCGAGCGUUAUCCGGAUUUAUUGGGUUUAAAGGGUGCGUAGGCGGCUUGUUAAGUCAGCGGUAAAAUUUCCGGGCUCAACCCGGUCGUGCCGUUGAAACUGGCAGGCUUGAGUAUGGAUGAAGUGGGCGGAAUUUGUAGUGUAGCGGUGAAAUGCUUAGAUAUUACAAGGAACUCCGAUUGCGCAGGCAGCUCACUAAACCAUAACUGACGCUGAAGCACGAAAGCGUGGGUAUCAAACA
rnacentral:rRNA from 1 species